rnacentral:rRNA from 1 species
AUUGAACGCUAGCGGGAUGCUUUACACAUGCAAGUCGAGCGAGCGGCGGACGGGUGAGUAAUGUAUGGGGACUGCCCGAUAGAGGGGGAUAACUACUGGAAACGGUAGCUAAUACCGCAUACUAUCGGAUAACCCAUAUGGGAUUAGCUAGUAGGUGAGGUAAUGGCUCACCUAGGCGACGAUCCCUAGCUGGUCUGAGAGGAUGAUCAGCCACCCUGGGACUGAGACACGGCCCAGACUCCUACGGAGGCAGCAGUGGGGAAUAUUGCACAAUGGGCGCAAGCCUGAUGCAGCCAUGCCGCGUGUAUGAAGAAGGCCCUAGGGUUGUAAAGUACUUUCAGUCGGGAGGAGUUACCGACAGAAGAAGCACCGGCUAACUCCGUGUCAGCAGCCGCGGUAAUUC